rnacentral:rRNA from 1 species
UACGUAGGGGGCAAGCGUUGUCCGGAAUUACUGGGCGUAAAGGGCGCGUAGGUGGCCUUCUAAGUCGAACGUGAAAUCCCUGGGCUCAACCCAGGAACUGCGUCCGAGACUGGGAGGCUUGAAUCCGGGAGAGGGAUGCGGAAUUCCAGGUGUAGCGGUGAAAUGCGUAGAUAUCUGGAGGAACACCGGUGGCGAAGGCGGCAUCCUGGACCGGUAUUGACACUGAGGCGCGAAAGCCAGGGGAGCAAACGGG